GACGAACGCUGGCGGCGUGCCUAAUACAUGCAAGUCGAACGAAGUGGGGACGGGUGAGUAACACGUUGGUAACCUCCCAUCAGAGGGGAUAAAACUUGGAAACAGGUGCUAAAACGAUACUGCUGGAUGUACCCGCGGUGCAUGAGCUAGUUGGUGAGGUAAAGACUCACCAAGGCCAAGAUGCAUAGCCGACCUGAGAGGUUGAUCGGCCCCACUGGGACUGAGACACGGCCCAGACUCCUACGUGAGGCAGCAGUAGGGAAUCUUCGGCAAUGGACGAAAGUCUGACCGAGCAACGCCGCGUGAGUGAAGAAGGUUUUCGGAUCGUAAAACUCUGUUGUUAGAGAAGCGGUAUCUAACCAGAAAGCCACGGCUAACUCCGUGCCAGCAGCCGCGGUAAUAC
rnacentral:rRNA from 1 species